UGGGGAAUAUUGGACAAUGGGCGAAAGCCUGAUCCAGCCAUGCCGCGUGUGUGAAGAAGGCCUUCGGGUUGUAAAGCACUUUCAGUGAGGAAGAACGCCUCUGGCCUAAUACGUCAGAGGGAAGACAUCACUCACAGAAGAAGCACCGGCUAACUCCGUGCCAGCAGCCGCGGUAAUACGGAGGGUGCGAGCGUUAAUCGGAAUUACUGGGCGUAAAGCGCGCGUAGGUGGCUUGAUAAGCCGGUUGUGAAAGCCCCGGGCUCAACCUGGGAAUGGCAUCCGGAACUGUCAGGCUAGAGUGCAGGAGAGGAAGGUAGAAUUCCCGGUGUAGCGGUGAAAUGCGUAGAGAUCGGGAGGAAUACCAGUGGCGAAGGCGGCCUUCUGGACUGACACUGACACUGAGGUGCGAAAGCGUGGGUAGCAAACAGG
rnacentral:rRNA from 1 species